rnacentral:misc_RNA from 1 species
UCUCCGUAGGUGAACCUGCGGAGGGAUCAUUACCGAGUGAGGGCCUCUGGCCCGACCUCCAACCCUUUGUUAUCCAAACCAUUGUUGCCUCGGGGGCGACCCGCGCCCGUCGGCGUCGGGGCCCCCGACGGACCAUUUCAAAACUCUGCAUCUUUGCGUCGGGUUUAAAAAGUUUAAUUGAUUAAAACUUUCAACAACGGAUCUCUUGGUUCUGGCAUCGAUGAAGAACGCAGC